UAUUGAAGGCUUUCGACUUGUGCACCAAAGCCUAUGGUACCAAGCACAUGUUGGUUCUUCGUUUGUAUUUGAACAUUGGAAUCUUGUACGAGGAUAAUGAAAACUAUGAGAAAGCUUACGAUUAUUUUGUCAAUUGGAACAAAGUUUGUAUGGAGGUUCUUGGCCCUGCUCACCCUAAAACCAAGCGAUCAACAGAUACUCUGGAGGAGGCUAUGUACAAGCGUAUCCGAGAAAGGAGAGAAAGACAAGCAGCUGGAACUGCUUAAAGCCAUUCUCCCAUUAGCUAUACAAAAAACAUAUUCGUAUAUUCUAAUCGAUAUUCACGAUUAUUCACAUAAUUUAAUCCAAUGUGCAUCACAGGAAGGUGGAUUUAGGCCCUGACAAACGCGCAUUAACAUUUAAUUUGACUCACCCAAUGGCCAACAUCUGUGGAACUGAGAAUGUCGGCACGUUGUUGUGUCGUGUAAGCCCAGUAUGAUAAACAGCCCAACAUUUGACCUUAUAGUCAACAUUUGUGAAACUGAGAAUGUUGGCACGUUGUUGUGUCGUAUAAACCCAGUUUGAUAAACAGCCCAACAUUUGACCUUAUAGUCAGCAUUUGUGAGACUGAGAAUGUUGGCACGAGCCUAACAUUUGACCCAACAUUUGCAAUACUUUCAUGGAAACGUGUACAAAACAUGUAAUACGCAUGUCUAGUGCCCAAAAUGUUGGCCGAGUGUUGGUGAAUUAACCAUGUCGAACGAAGCAAACAUUUUUGAAACGAUAGAAAUGUUUGUGUGAUGCUGGGAAAAUGUUUUCAAAUUCAAACUUCUCCCAUCAUUUUUGGUGAAGUACUUUGAACGAUGCCAGCAUUUUUAGAACGACAGAUUCUGAAAUGUUGGUGUGAUGUUAGGCAAAGGUUUUUUUUUCAACAUCAAACGUUUCCUAAUAUUGUUGGCAGGCCAUGACAAACUGCCCCGGCAACAUUUGACCCAACAAAAUGAUCUUUGGUCCAAUCUUGGGCUCAUUUAUCAGGGUCUUAAGAUGUUUGAAAUUAAAAAAUAAGCAAGCAUAAUAAGAUAAAUGGAUGUCCAAAUACCAAAUAUAAUUGAAAAUCAAAACAAACAAAAAAACAAACAAAAAAUAUCGAAAUCGAAAUCUAACAAGGGUGGCCAAUAGUACCUUAUGUUAUACCAGAUCUAAUUUUCUUUAAGCCGGCACAUUCGUUUCUUUAUUUAUUUCCGCCUUUGUUUCUCACAAAUUUUCUUAUUUAGCAUUUGUUAUUUUGAUAAUAAAUGAAUAAAAUGCAAUGUUAUGUUC